GAGUUUGAACCAUGGUCCUGCCACUUCCUGAUAAUGGCACCUCAGAUGCAGCCUACAUCAAGGAAGCUGCCUGCUCUUAGGGGAACAGGAUACCUGCAGAGGCUCCGGUCCUGACAACGCCUUCAGCUCCACCUCCCACCAAAGACCUGUGUGGUGUCAGCAGCAGCCCCAUUUGCAGAACUUCCCAGAGCAGGUUAUCUGCAAUGGAAGCAGUGAUGCAGCACCCACAUGUCCCAGAGGAAGGGUUGUCAGCUGACAGCUCACAGCUGGAUCACGCUGGGGGAUUUUUUUUCUUUCCCCUGGGAGAAAAUGCAUCUAAUGACUGAUUGAGAUGACGAACAGAAGCCUGGCCCUUUGCGUAUCUGGGCUGCUGACCCAAUAAAAUGGAGCCCCUGUGACCUGCUGUCAGGGCUUUCACAACUGGUUCCGCAUGACGACCCUGCCUGACAACCCCAACUUGGCUUCAGCCUUCCUCUUGCUGGAUGACUUCAGCAAGUCAGACACUCUCCAUGCAUGUGCCUUCUCGUUUAUAAAACAAAGACAGGAUUAUUGUGAGAAUCAAAUAAAAUAAUGGAUAUAAGCA
rnacentral:lncRNA from 1 species